rnacentral:rRNA from 1 species
GAGAAAGAGGGAGCAAUCCCUUGAGUAAAGUGGCGUACGGGUGAGUAACACGUGGGUAACCUGCCCUCUGGUGGGGAAUAACCCUGGGAAACCGGGGCUAAUACCGCAUACGUCCGAGAGGAGAAAGCCGAAAGGCGCAGGGAGAGGGGCCCGCGGCCGAUUAGCUAGUUGGUGGGGUAAUGGCUCACCAAGGCGACGAUCGGUAGCCGGCCUGAGAGGGCACACGGCCACACUGGCACUGAAACACGGGCCAGACUCCUACGGGAGGCAGCAGUGGGGAAUCUUGCACAAUGGGGGAAACCCUGAUGCAGCGACGCCGCGUGAGCGACGAAGCCCUUCGGGGUNNAAAGCUCUUUCGGCAGGGACGAUCAUGACGGUACCUGCAGAAGAAGCUGCGGCUAACUACGUGCCAGCAGCCGCGGUAAUACGUAGGCAGCGAGCGUUGUNNGGNAUUACUGGGCGNNNNNNNNGCGUAGGCGGUUGGCUAAGUUCGGUGUGAAAUCUCCCGGNUCAACUGGGANGNNNCGCCGAACACUGGCCGGCUAGAGUGCGGGAGAGGGAAGNNNNNNUCCUGGUGUAGC